UCCGUAGGCGGUGCGGCAAGUCGGAAGUGAAAUCUCAGGGCUUAACCCUGAGGCUGCUUCCGAAACUGCCGUGCUGGAGUGCGAGAGAGGCGAGUGGAAUUGCAGGUGUAGCGGUGAAAUGCGUAGAUAUCUGCAGGAACAUCCGAGGCGAAAGCGGCUCGCUGGAUCGCAACUGACGCUGAGGGACGAAAGCUAGGGGAGCAAACAGGAUUAGAUACCCUGGUAGUCCUAGCCCUAAACGAUCAGGACUGGGCGUGGGCCUCGUACGGGGCUCGUGCCGCAGCUAACGCGUUAAGUCCUGCGCCUGGGGAGUAUGGUCGCAAGGCUGAA
rnacentral:rRNA from 1 species